rnacentral:rRNA from 1 species
UACGUAGGGAGCAAGCGUUGUCCGGAUUCAUUGGGCGUAAAGGUCUCGUAGGCGGCGCAACAAGUCACUUGUGAAAUCUCCGGGCUUAACCCGGAGCGGCCAAGUGAUACUGUCGUGCUAGAGUGCGGAAGGGGCUACUGGAAUUCUCGGUGUAGCGGUGAAAUGCGUAGAUAUCGAGAGGAACACCUGCGGCGAAGGCGGGUAGCUGGGCCGACACUGACGCUGAGGCGCGAAAGCCAGGGGAGCGAACGGG